CUCUGACUUAUCCUUGAUGCAAGAGAUAAACUUUCACUAAGCCACAGAGGUUUCAGCCUUAAUUUGUUACUACAGCAUAAUCUAACUUAUUCUGAUGAGUAGUUUUAAUGGACUGCUGCUGUGUUUUGGAGAAUGUCCAAAAAUCUGACCUUUGGAUAAGGGGAUGAGACUGUACAAAUUUUUGCUUCUUAGUACCAUCUGCCUGGGAAUAAAAAUCUCUGGGCAGGAAGAAAUAAGAAAGGAAGGAAGACAAUUUUGGGGAAGUCUGCAUAUACAUCCUUCCCACUAUGAAGAACAUGAGGAUUUUCCUCCUGUCCCAGCUUAUCCAUCACUGAAUGACUGACCAAAGACUAUGAGCCAUCAACACUCAGUCCUCUGGUUUACAUUUUAGACGGAUGAUUCAAACAGUACACAGGUCAACAAAGCAAGGCAAGAUGCUCAUUUUAUUCUUGAUGAAAUCAACUGAUAAAUCUCCUCGACUUCUUCAAGAAAGGUCAGGGGGAAAAAAUAGCAUAGGAUCCAUGCAACAGUAAAAAUGCAAGAAAUCUGGAAAAGUAGAGGAAAUAAGUAGAAAAAAUUAAAUCCCUGAAAAUCACACUGAGAGCAUCAAGGAAUAGAAUUUAAACAGAAGAAAAUUGGACAUGGAGGGCAAGCUAUUGAAAAAAAAUCACAUAGAAUUUAGUGGCAAAUGACACAGAAUGAAAGUGACGAGGGGGAAGAUGAAAGAGACAGAAAACAAACAAGAGAAAACUGACAGGAAUGACUGCUAUCUUUGAAGCUGUGAAUGAAUACAUGGAACCAAAAAAAUUUACAUAAUAGAAGAA